GUCUCCGUGGCGCAAUUGGUUAGCGCGUCUGACUGUUACUUGGCAUCAUCAGGAGGUUGACAGUUCAAUCCUGUCCGGGGACG